rnacentral:lncRNA from 1 species
GCUUUGUGAAGAGGACACAGUCAGGCACGACCUGAAAGUCUGUACAAGUGGAAUAAAAAGUAGAAAACAUUGUUUAAAAACUUGUUUUCAGUUGAAUCGGCUUGAGCUGAAGCUUUAUUUGAUUAGUAAAAUGCAUCGUAGCGUAUUAACGAUGUUUGAAGAUCUGCAACGCGGGUUUCUAUUAUAGUUUUGGAGGAUUUAAAGCUUCCAUAGACUGCCUAUGAAAUUCACCACGACCAGGAUCUUAUAGUUUACAUUUUUUCAGUAAGUUAGGAGCAACAGGUAGCCUACUUUUGGUUGAUUUGGCUGUUUUAGUUUGAUUGUCAGUUUAUCACACAAACAUCUGAAUAACCACUGACUCACGGCAAUGUUCCAGCGUUUGUUUGGAAAAAAACGCGGAUUUACAACCUAAUUAGGCGAAAGCAGAAUCUUUAUUUGCAAUACCAUCACAUGGAUAUACGGUGCGGUUGAGGGCAUGACUUUUUACUGUGUGAGUUCCAGACACAACAGAGGGACGGAGCUGCGGCCGAUCCGUCACAACUUCCUCUACAUUGUUUUACUCUGAGACUGGACACCUCCACUGACAGACGGAUGACUCUGUCUUCUGGUUUGGAUGCACCCAAAAGAGCCAUGCAUAAUGGUUAGGCCCUCAAGAGUUGGAAAGAAAUACACACAAAUCACCUUUUAAAUUCCAGGUCAUUGUAUCCAGAUCCUACCUGGAAUCCUUGGGCAGAAGGCCAGAAGACCCCCUGGAUGUAGCUUUAUUUGCCUUAAACACUGUUAAGCAUAACCUUCCACCAUCAUCAUCAUCAUCAUCAUCAUCAUCAUUUCUCCUGUCUGCUAACUAAACAAUGUAUUAUGUAUAUGUAUUAGAGCUUUCAACAUUAAAGCAUUAACACACUGAUUCAUUUUGAAUCACUAGCAUGUUAUUAUUUUUUUAAAUGUAAGUUUAUUGCGUCCAAGUUUGACACCAAAUCCCGUGGUAAUCUGCCCUGCCCAACACAUGGAUUUUCUUGUGGCUAAAUGACACAAAAAGACAGAGCAUUUAUUUGCAGAAAAUGAGAAAUGGUUAAAAUAACAAAAAAAGAUGCA